rnacentral:lncRNA from 1 species
AUAGAUAUUCUCCUGUUGGCAAAUUUUUUUUCUGUUGUAGAAAUAAAGAGGGAUUAAAAGUUGUUUAAUUCUGUUAUUUUUUUACGUACGGAAAGAGGAAUCAAGUUGUUUUUCAAAUCCCGCUAAAAAAUGGGUCUAUCGACAGACCGAAAUUUGAAAUACGUGCUUUUAUAUAUAGUAUAGAUAUAUAUAGAGUCCGGCUACUAUGCUAUUAAUAGUACGAAACAUUUGGUGCUACUAAGUUUUCCGCCGUUAGAUCUACCCUUUUGAUCAUUUUCACCCGUUAGAUCAUACUAUUCAACCAACCACUCACUCAGCCGUAGGGGGCCACAUCAUUCUAACCGCACAUCUCUUAAUCCAAUGGCCAAAAACUUGGUAGCACCAAUGACUUGGUGCUAUUAAUAGUAUAUUAGCCUAGUUCUCUCUCUCUCUCUCUCUCUCUCUCUCUCUCUCUCUCUCUCUCUCUCUAUAUAUAUAUAUAGAGCAGGGCUGUUGUGCUCCCAGGAGCACGAAGGCCUCCGUGCUCCUGAGCCAUUUUCGAUGAUAAAAUUUUCGAAUCGACGAUCGACUCCGUUAGACUUGAUCUAGCGUAUUUAAAGUUUCUGAAAAAUAAUUUUUGCGAUUUUUCGAUAUCAUUUACCUAGCAAUCGAAAGGAUUCAAAAUCAAUAAUUUUAACGGCUGAAAAUAAAAAUCCUAUAAAAAGUGGUGAUAUAGCACUAAAAUUUUCGAUCAGAAAUAUUGAUCUUGUUAUAGAUAGUAUAAAAAAUUUUGUAUUAAAAUUUCAUAUGAUUUGAAUACUUCUACACUGUUAAACUUGAAAACAGCAGAUAUCAACCAUUAAAAAUUAUGGAUUUUGAAUCCUUUCGAUCACUAGGUAAAUGAUAUAAAAAAAUCACAAAAAUUAUUUUCUAGAAAUUUCAAAUGCGCUAGAUCAAGUCUAAUNAGUCCGGCUACUAUACUCUUAUGAGUACGAUUGCCCUCGUACUUAUAAAUCAUUUUCGAUGGUAGAGCUUCCAAAUCGACGAUUCAUAUCGUUAAACGUUAUUUACAACAUUAAAAACUUAUAGAAAUCAAAUUUUAUAAUUUUUUAACAUCAUUUACCUUACGAUCAAAAGGUCACAAAAUUGAUAAUUUUAACGGCCGGUAUGGAAUACUUUCUAGUUUAACGGUGUAAAAGAAUUGGAAUUUGUUGAAUUUUUGAUAAAAAAUUCUAUUCACUACCAAGAUAAUGAUCAAUAAUUUCGAUCUUAAAUUGAAGGAUACGAUCAUCUAUUUUUAGGACGUCGUUCAAUUUUGACCGUUUAUUUUAUGCUUGCUUGAUGAAUUUUAUUAUGAUUUUGAAAAUUUACGAAAUUUAUUUUUUAGAAGUUUCAAAUACUCUAGAUCAUAUUUAACGGAGUGGAUUGUCGAUUCGGAAGCUCCAUUAUCAAAAACAACUUAUGAGUACGGGGGCUCCAAUACUCAUAAUAGAAUAAUAGCCACGGCCUAUAUAUAUAAUAAUUUUUUAUUUAUAACUUUUUUUUUUCUUUUCUUUUCAACCAAACAAUCGUAACGAAAAAUUACUUUUCUUUUCCUAUAAACCAAACGCUAAAACGUAAAAUUUAUUUUCCUCCAAAAAUUUUGUUUCCACCGAAAUUUUUUUUUUCUGU